rnacentral:rRNA from 1 species
GAGGCUCGCGCUGUGUUCUUGUUCCUGCCCCGUCUGCGUGGGCGGUGGACGCGGACGUGGAGCGACGAGGGUUUCCCUCAGGAUAGCUGGCAUUCAUUGGCAUAAUCAGUUUUAUCCGGUAAAGCGAAUGAUUAGAGGUGCUGGGUUCGAAACGAGCUCAACAGUUUCUCAAACUUUAAAUGGGUGAGAGGCUCGACUCGCCCCGCUAUGU